GACGAACGCUGGCGGCGUGCUUAACACAUGCAAGUCGAACGGAAAGGCCUCUUUCGGGGGGUACUCGAGUGGCGAACGGGUGAGUAACACGUGAGUAACCUGCCCUUGACUUUGGGAUAACUUCAGGAAACUGGGGCUAAUACCGGAUAGGAGCUCCUGCUGCGUGGUGGGGGUUGGAAAGUUUCGGCGGUUGGGGAUGGACUCGCGGCUUAUCAGCUUGUUGGUGGGGUAGUGGCUUACCAAGGCUUUGACGGGUAGCCGGCCUGAGAGGGUGACCGGCCACAUUGGGACUGAGAGACGGCCCAGACUCCUACGGGAGGCAGCAGUGGGGAAUAUUGCACAAGGGGUGGAAGCCUGAUGCAGCAACGCCGUGGGCGGGAGGACGGCCUUCGGGUUGUAAACCGCUUUCGCUCAUGACGAAGCUUUGUGUGACGGUAGUGGGUAAAGAAGCACCGGCUAACUACGUG
rnacentral:rRNA from 1 species